GUCAUACGAGUACUAUCCUCAGUGUUCUGUAUUAAGGGAUCUCGAGAUUAGGGUUUAACUGGCGCAUGGGUUGGAAGAUACUGUACUUGCCUUGGAAUCCUAAGAGGUUAGUGUAGAAUCCAAAUUGUGUGACCCCUUGUUGCGCAACAGUUCUGUUUUAUUUGCAAACCUGUUUUCUUACUUAUUCAUCUGGAGAUGAUAAUGUGUGACUGAGAUUCAUAUGGGUGGUGGCUUAAAGUGCCAGGAGAAGUGUACAAGUCUUGGAGAACUAUUUGAUUAUGAACCAGAUGCGCAAAAACGACAUGCGAAGUACAAGGUUUGGCUGAACAGAAAUUGUAUCCUACUUCAGAAGCACCUAUUAUGUACCUGGCCAAGGUCGAACUUACCACUACACCUUCGGCUAGAUAGUUUUGAGUUUUUUUUGUUGAAACAACUAUAACCAGUUUAUACAUUCAAACAGAGUUCAGUAAAUAAAUUUUGUGUCAAGGUAACCCCAUGUUUGAUUUUGGUUAAAAAGAUAGCCAAGGGAUUUAAGUCUAUUUUAAUUUGAUUUCACUAUAUCAUAAUAUCAAUACUACCAUCCCUUGCUUUGA